rfam:Gossypium raimondii Chr08_contig_674, whole genome shotgun sequence.
AACCCAUUGUGGGGGCACCUUCUCAAUAAAUCCUUGUUUCUCUCUCAUGCAUCAUAUAAAGUCUCUAAAUCAAUCUGCACAAAGGAAGAGAUGUCAUUCCUCAAUUU